GGUGCAGUGGCGCAGUGGUCAAAAGCACUGCAUCUGAGUGCUAGAGGCAUCACUACAGACCCUGGUUCGAUUCCAGGCUGUAUCA
rnacentral:tRNA from 1 species